UGGGGAAUAUUGCACAAUGGGCGCAAGCCUGAUGCAGCCAUGCCGCGUGUGUGAAGAAGGCCUUCGGGUUGUAAAGCACUUUCAGCGAGGAGGAAGGUGGUGAACUUAAUACGUUCAUCAAUUGACGUUACUCGCAGAAGAAGCACCGGCUAACUCCGUGCCAGCAGCCGCGGUAAUACGGAGGGUGCAAGCGUUAAUCGGAAUUACUGGGCGUAAAGCGCACGCAGGCGGUUUGUUAAGUCAGAUGUGAAAUCCCCGGGCUCAACCUGGGAACUGCAUUUGAAAACUGGCAAGCUAGAGUCUCGUAGAGGGGGGUAGAAUUCCAGGUGUAGCGGUGAAAUGCGUAGAGAUCUGGAGGAAUACCGGUGGCGAAAGGCGGCCCCCUGGACGAAGACUGACGCUCAGGUGCGAAAAGCGUGGGGAGCAAAACAGGAUUAGAUACCCUGGUAGUCCACGCUGUAAAACGAUGUCGAUUUUGGAGGUUGUGCCCUUGAGGCGUGGCUUCCGGAGCUAACGCGUUAAAUCGACCGCCUGGGGAGUACGGCCGCAAGGUU
rnacentral:rRNA from 1 species